rnacentral:rRNA from 1 species
CCAGACUCCUACGGGAGGCAGCAGUGAGGAAUAUUGGUCAAUGGGAGAGAUCCUGAACCAGCCAAGCCGCGUGAGGGAAGACGGCCCUAUGGGUUGUAAACCUCUUUUGUCGGAGAACAAAACCCGGGACGUGUCCCGGACUGCGUGUAUCCGAAGAAAAAGCAUCGGCUAACUCCGUGCCAGCAGCCGCGGUAAUACGGAGGAUGCGAGCGUUAUCCGGAUUUAUUGGGUUUAAAGGGUGCGCAGGCGGAGGUGCAAGUCAGUGGUCAAAUUGCGGGGCUCAACCCCGUACUGCCGUUGAAACUGCAUCCCUUGAGUGCGCGAGAAGUAUGCGGAAUGCGUGGUGUAGCGGUGAAAUGCUUAGAUAUCACGAAGAACCCCGAUUGCGAAGGCAGCCUGCCGCAGCGUUACUGACGCUGAAGCUCGAAAGCGCGGGUAUCGAACAGGAUUAGAUACCCUUGUA